rnacentral:lncRNA from 1 species
ACGUGGAGCACGUGAAGGCGGCACGUUUGGGUCUGUUUAGCUCUGUCCGCUGCUCCCUGACAGUUGAAGAGGACACACAGAGGCACGAAACAGCGAGAAAGACAAAAUGAAGGACGUCAAUAUUAUGCGGAUUCUCGUCAUAAUCCUGUGUGCGGUGGUUUUUGUUGCCGUUUUAGUCUUUAACGCUUUGGCCGGAGCGGGCAAAGGUCCCUUUCAUACUUCUACAGGAAAUGUAUCAGCCCGCUAUGAGACAGGCAUCACUCCAGCUGGCUGGACCUUCUCCAUCUGGGGCGUUAUCUAUACCUGGCUCACCCUGAUGGUGAUUUAUAUCACUUCAUACACAUGCAGAGGAUCCUGGGCUCAGUGUCUGCUGCCCUACGGCUUCUAUAUUUGCUGGCUCUCCAACAUGGUGCUGAACAUAAUCUGGCUCCUGCUGUGGGACGCAGAGUAUGUCUUCAUUUUAUUUACUACUACUUGUUCUUAUGCUUCUUUUGGCUGCUCCCUUCACGGGUCACCACAUUCACCUCCAUCUCACCCUGUCCCUAGAC